rnacentral:rRNA from 1 species
CCCCACUGCUAUCGGGAUAGGACUAAGACAUGCUAGUCGCGUGCUUCAGCCAAAACGAGGCACGGCAUACAGCUCAGUAACACGUGGCUAAUCUGCCCUUGGGACGAGAACACCCCCGGGAAACUGGGGCUAAUUCGCGAUAGGCGAAGAACACUGGAAUGUGUCUUCACCUAAAAGACCCUGCGUUAUGCUCGUAGGUGUCGCCCAAGGAUGAGGCCGCGACCGAUCAGGUUGUUGGCGAGGUAAUGGCUCACCAAGCCUUUUACCGGUGCGGGCCGUGGGAGCGGGAGCCCGGAGAUGGGUACUGAGACAAGGACCCAGGCCCUACGGGGCGCAGCAGUCGCGAAAACUUUGCGAUACACGAAAGUGUGACAGGGCUAUCCCGAGUGCCAUCCGCUGAGGAAGGCUUUUACCCAGUCUAGAACGCUGGGGGAAUAAGGAGAGGGCAAGUCUGGUGUCAGCCGCCGCGGUAAUACCAGCUCUUCGAGUGGUGUGGAUGUUUAUUGGGCCUAAAGCAUCCGUAGCUGGCUAAGUUAGUCCCUUGUUAAAUCCACCGAAUUAAUCGUUGGAUUGCGGGGGAUACUGCUUGGCUAGGGGACGAGAGAGGCAGACGGUAUUUUCGGGGUAGGGGUGAAAUCCUAUAAUCCCGGGAAGACCACCAGUGGCGAAGGCUGUCUGCUAGAACGCGCCCGACGGUGAGGGAUGAAAGCUGGGGGAGCGAACUGGAUUAGAUACCCGGGUAGUCCCAGCUGUAAACGAUGCAGACUAGGUGUUUGAACGGCCACGUGCCGUUCUAGUGCCGCAGGGAAGCUGUUAAGUCUGCCGCCUGGGGAGUACGAUCGCAAGAUUGAAACUUAAAGGAAUUGGCGGGGGAGCACCACAAGGGGUGAAGCUUGCGGUUU